AAAUAUACAGAACAUAAAAUUUAUAAUUUUAACCACUUCAGUGUAUAUUUCAGUGUAUAUUCACACACUGCUCUGCAGCUAUCACCACCAUCCAUCUCCAGAACUUUUUCAUCUUCCCAAAUUGAAAUGGUACCCUUGAAACAAUAACUCAAAGGUCCCCUCUUGUCCCAGCCCCUGGCAAUCACCAUUCCACGUUCUGUCUCUGUGAACUUGACUAUUCCCUUGAUUCUAUGAGGAAUCACAUAGUGUUUGUCUUUUGGUGACUGGUAAUGUCCUCGAGGUUCAUUCAUGUGGCUGUGUAUCAGACCUCUUUUCUUUUAAAGGCUGAAUAAUAUUGUAUCUCAGUUUUAACAGGAUAAAUUUCCUUCCAAUAUCCUGUAGCUAAAUGGCAGGAAUGUAGACUGAGGGGUGGGAUGCUGAAAUCUUACUGAGUCUGUGUCAUGUGGGAGGAAAGCUGUCUCAGGAAUUUCUAAGUACUCCUGUCCAGACUGCCCUGGACAACAUUUCUAACAAUGACUUAAAUGAGGACCCAGGAGGGCUGCCAAGCUAAUAACUUGUGAAUGACAGAAAAUUUGGCAUAACAGCUCUUCCGUGGAAUGAUGAAUAUGGAUUCAAAAUAUUUAGUGUACUAGGAUGAUAUGCUGAAACCAAGGAGAUGGAAUUCAACAGCGGUAAAUGCAAUAUACUAAAAUGAGGCUAAACUGCAUACUUGUGUGCAUAUGUGCACGCACGUGCGCAUGCGUGAGCACAUACACACACACACACACACACACACACACACACACACAAUGCAGCAGUACAGGAUGGAGUAAAACUGGCCUCAGAGCAGCCUGAGCAAGAGUUGUGGGUUUUAAUUGACCACAAGCUCAGUCUGAGUCAACAGUGGGAUGUGGUUGCCAGAAAAACAACUAAUGUGAUCCAAAGGUGCAUUAAUAGAAGCACAAUGUUCAGAGCAAGGCAGGAAAUAGCUCCUAUGCUGGCCUCGCUGGUCAGGCCGCACCUGGAAUGUUGUGUUCAAGUCGGCACCGCACUUUAUGAGAGACAUCAGAAACCUGGAGGGCAUUUGGCAGAGGGCAAACAGUCUGGAAAACGUGCCUCGUGAGGCAGGAAACAAAUCUGGGAAUUUAGCAGGUAGGACAGAAGACCUGGCAGGGGGGCACAGGAGGCAACUUUAAAAUUUGGAAGGCUUGCUUUUGUGUGGCGUUGGAAAAGGGAACUGUAACUCAUGGACGCAGGUUACAGCGAGGGCAAAUUAGACCCAGCAAACAAUAGAGUGAGUCCCUCAUCACUGGAGGCAAUCAACCAGCAUUGUUUCAGGAAAGUGAUUCUCAGGGGCACUUCUGCCCCCCACGAGAGAGAGACAUUGAUUAUCACCAGUGGGAGGAGGCAGAACUGCAACUGGCAUCCUGUAAGUACAGGCCAAGGAUGCUUCUAAACAUCCUACGGUGCACAGGCCAGCCCUGAGAACAAAUAAUCAGCCAGCCUGAUUCGUGAUUGUGCUGAGCUUGAGAAACCUCAGAAGGAAUUCCUGUACUGGAAUGUUUUAGAGUAGAGGCCCAAACCUCCUGGCUGGAUCUGGCCUGGGUGGUUUUCUUUUUAUAUCACUUGCUAAUGUUUAAGAAUCCUGGGAUUUCACAUAAAGAUCUGGAAUUCUAGCCCUUUCUUAAAAAAAAAAAAAAAAAAAAUCCCUACACCUGAUAUCACUGAGCUCACCUUCGUGCCCGGCAACAGUUGCCUAGAGCUGCGUAGCUGAGGUCCCUUCUGGAAGAUUCACAGUCCCUAUGUCAUUACCUGCCUGGCCACUGUAGGCAUUUUCAUUUACGACCCCUGGUGCCUUUCAUCAACUGGUUCUCAACUUUGACUUUGCUUUCAAAUCACCUGGGGAGCUUUGCGAACUGCGCCCUGCCCCCUGUACUAGUGCUGCGCCCCAGACCAAUACUGCAGACUCUCUGGAGGUGGGACUCAGGCAGCACAGUUCCUCACAGCUCCCCAAAGUUAUCAUGAAACAAUAAUCUGUGGGUAGAAGUUGUGAGACAAGUAUACUCAUACCCAGUACAGAAAACUUACUGUGGUCAAAUAAUUUGAAUAGUUGAAUGCCCUGUUUUUGGAGUGAACUCCAUAUUUCUGGUGGUAGUCAAUUAAGAGAGUUUUUUUUUUUUUUUAAGAUUUUACUUAUUUAUUUGAGAGAAAGAGGGCAGUAAGAGAGAGAGCAUGAGCAGGGUGAGGGGCAGAGGGGAGAACUGCUCCCUCAGCUCCCGCUGUGCAGGGAGCUCGAUAUGGGGCUCGACUCUAGUAUCCUGGGAUCAUGGCCUGAUCAAGAUAGUGUUUAUGAAGAAAUCCCUACUUUGGAAUACUUGAAAGGGAGCAAAACUGGACCACAGCAGGGGUUCUUCACUCUCAGUGUGGAAGAGAAUAACCUGAUGGGUUUCCCCAAGCACACAGGUCCAAGUCCCAUCCCAGAAGAGUAUAAUCUAGAAAGGUCAGGUAAGGGCUGAGCAGGCACAAAUAGAAAAAUCUUGCCAGAUGAUGCUGGUACGUGCACCCAGAGAACCACUGAGCGAGAUGGAUGACCUCUAAAGCUCCAGCCUCAACCUUGGCACUGACUCAGGCCCCUUAAAAAAAAAAAAGUCUACGUAAACCUGCAAAUACACACUGGAAAUAUAUAUGAAGGACAUGAUGACCAUGGGUUUGUGUGUAUUCUAACACACACAAAGAGGAGGGUAAGCUGGAAGCUGCAAGAUUCUCAGAUUCAGUCCUAAUACUGGGGCCUGAAGGGAUUCAAGUAGAGAACUGUUUUUGAGGUUCUAGCACACUUCCCAACAUGUUGGACACAUGAUGUUUGCUUAAAUAACCUCUUGGAAAGCCUUUUACAUGCUUGUGUGUUUUUAGCUUAAAGCAACAGAUACUGACACUGCCUGCUUUAAGCUAGAAAGAAUUCUAUUAAAUGGAUAUUAGAACGAUGUAAGAAGGCUUUAAAAUGUGCCUGCCUUAAUAAAACAUGAUACAGCAGUGCAAUGACUUAUUAGAUGUUCAUUAGAAACUAUCACACAGAUAAAAAUGAAUACAUUUAGUAGGUGUGUGAAGGUGUCCACCACACAGGGCUCUGUGGGAAAAGGAGGCUAUAGAACAGGAUGUAAGAUAUGAUACAACUCAUUUUCAUAAUAACAUAUUUAUAGUAGUACUUAUACACAAAAUCUAGGAAAAAUCUGAACCUUGACCUAAAGCCUCGUGUUAUAAACAAAAAUUAAUUGAAAGCAGAUCUUCAACAUAAAAUAUAAAAUGUAAACCUAUAAGACUUGUAGGGGAAAAAAAAAAUCAAGCUUGAGAGAAAAACCUUCCAGAUCUAGAGCCAAAGAGCUCUGAGACUGGACACCAAAAGCAUUUUACAAUCUGUAAAGUAAAGGAUAGAAUUUGACCUCAUCGAAUUAAAAACUUCUGUGUUGCAAAGGAAUGGUGAAAAGGAUGAAAAUACAAGCUGCAGAUUGGGGACGGCGUGUGGAAGGGUUGGGGGGGGGCGGUGCUCAGGCAGCAAGGUGUGCAAACCACCAGGUACAUACCCAACAAACACUAGUAUUUAGAAAAUAGAAGGAAUUCUCAAGACUCAGCAGUAAACAAACGAAAAACUAGAGGAUGAGCAAAAGACAUGAAAAGAAAGACUUUUCCCCCAAUAGGAUAUGCAGAUGGGAAAACAAGCCCAUGGAAAGAUGUUCACCGUGAUGAGCUAUCAGGGAGACAUAAGAAAAAACCCACAAAGGACCACAAGGCAUGGAGCAGAAUGGCUAAAGUAAAAAAUACUAACACCACCAAAUGCUGGAAAGGAUGCAGAGAAACUGGAUCGCUCACAUAGCAUAAGGCAGUAUGGCUGGCUAGUCUGGAAACCAGUUUGGCGGUGUCUUAGAAAGUCAAGACACAAGCACCAUUGGAUCUGGAAAUUCAGCUCUUGGGCAUUUAUCCCAGAGAAGUGAAAACGUAUGUCCACGUAAAAAUCCACACAUGAAAAGUUCACAGCAGCUCUACUUGCAAUUGGCAAAAUUGGAAACCCCAAAGGUCCUUCAAUGGGUGAAUGAUUAAAGAAAUGGAGACAUCGACACUAGGAAAUACUACUCAGGCUCAUUUAAAAAAUAUCUAAGUAUAAAAAGAGGAAUGACAUAAAGAAAUGUUCUAGAAGUAAUCCUGUUGUUGGUACACAGGUAGUGCAGAAGUCAAGGAGGUGCCGUGUCAAUGACUGAAAUUCAAGGCACACUGCCCUGGAAUAUGCUCAAUUCCCUGCGGUCUCUAAGGAAUCUGAACACAGUGGACAGGACACAGAAAAUUAAAGAACUCCAAUAAAUACGAUCCACACCUCUCCCCCUUCCCUUUUAUUCACUCAUCGUGUACUUCAAAGGGGGAGGGAUUCUAGACCUCACCUCCUCUGUAUGUUAAUAAAUGAUCUGAAAGGAGUGAUGGUCCUUGGAGCUCCCAGUAUCAUGAGACAGAGGUUAGGGUGGGUCUGGAAGCAGAGAUAGGGCUGGGGGAGGGAUUAGGGAAAAGGCAGUCACUGAUGAAAAUAAGCAUUUUCAAGGUCUGCGGCUAAGCCUCAGGCCAUCACUGGAUAAGCAAGGAAGUGCUAGAAAGUUGUUUGUGUGAAAUGGAGUGUAAACAGCAAACAUGUUAUAGAGGUGGAAGGGAAGGGACAGAAGGAGGGACCCACAGAGCAAGCAUUAGCCCCCACCCUUAGUGGGAGGCUGUAGGAGUUUGGCGGUCCUUAUUUAUAUGAUACCAGAUAACGCUGCAGCUCACACUCCGUGUGUUUGCCGCCGCAUCUCCACCAACAGAUGGAGGUAAUAAAGAGGCUAAAAAUGGAAACACGAACUGGUGUGUAGCUUUGUUAUGGCAGUUUGUCACAGAACAGUCAAGAAUCCCUCGCCAGUAAGUGU
rnacentral:lncRNA from 1 species